ensembl:lncRNA LINC02997 long intergenic non-protein coding RNA 2997
AUUCCAUUCCAGAACCCCAGCUAAAAUGUUCUCAAGGGCUGACCAGAGAUUCCUCCUCCUUUCUCUGGGCUGGUACAACUUGACCGCUGCUUGACAUCAAGGUCAACUGGAGACUGGGAACAGUUAUGUAACUGUGUUGUAAAUUGAAUUAGAGCUGUACAUGAGCCCAGACCAAGUAACCAGUGCAGCUCCAGGCAAGAGCAGCAACAUGUCCCCCAGAGACAGCAUUGGAGGAACAGCUUACUGGGGAAUGGAAAAAGGGUAUCACAGGGCCUUCAGACUCAGACUGGAACUGCACCGUUGGCUCUCCUGGGUGGGUCUCCAGCUUGCUGACCACAGACCUUGAGACUUCUCAGCCUUUAGAAUCAUGGAAGCCAAUUCCUUAUAAUAAUAUAUAUCCUUUUCCUAGUCUGUGGACUUUUCCCAGCUCCAGACAGACAACCUUCUAUAAACUCCAGGAUGCUCCAUCAAUGCCGUCUGGACUCUACAGAUUUUGACCCUGAAGUAAAGUAGGAAAGGCUAUGAGGACAUGUUAAAUGUUGUACUACCGCCUGAAGCCUUUUCUUCUUUAAAUUUUUCAACAAGAGUUGAAUGCACACGUGGAGCUUAAUUGGACAACAACUUUUCUCCUCUUCUGUGGGAUCCCGUCAGUGCUUUAAGCAAUGAGAAGGCAGCUCAUUUCCAAGUUUGUGUGGUAAAUUUGGGGCAAGUGGGAGAAAAGAAAGAAAGGCUGAGUCUUAUAGGGUGUGAUUUGGUUCUAGACAUGCUUAUGUUACUUUUUAUAAGAUUAUCCAUUUGACUAGAUUUCUUUCCUGCUGACAAAAGAGGCAAUUUCUACAUAUAAAAUAAAUCUGAUUAAAAC